rnacentral:rRNA from 1 species
UACGUAGGGGGCAAGCGUUGUCCGGAUUUAUUGGGCGUAAAGGGUGCGUAGGCGGUCCUGUAAGUAUGGUGUGAAAUCUCCCGGCUUAACUGGGAGGGUGCGCUAUAGACUGCGGGACUAGAGGGUGGGAGAGGAAAGUGGAAUUCCUGGUGUAGCGGUGAAAUGCGUAGAUAUCAGGAGGAACACCGGUGGCGAAGGCGGGUCUCUGGGCCGAUACUGACGCUGAGGAGCGAAAGCGUGGGGAGCGAACGGG